AUGCGUCCAGCGUCAGUACCGCGUAAGCUGUCGCGCGGAUAAUUUAGGCGUGCGGAACUAAUUGCGCGCAGCGGCAAUUUGCCGCGAACACCUGGCGCGGCUAACCCUUUUGCAGGGCGUUUACGAAUCUCCGCGAUACGGCGCGGCCAAAUGUCGAUUUUGCGCCGUCGCGCCGCCGUUUGAAGUCGAACAUAGAUCGCACGUCCGCGUCUCUCGCCGGGAAAAAGUGACGUCGCGCAGAAAAAUAUACGUCGGAAAACGCCGGACGCUGGACGAGGCGGGGGAGCAAUCGUUGCAGAGAUUGUCAAUCGUGUCGGAUUAACGCGCGCCGACCGGCGUAAUUCGCCACGAUUAGCCCGGUUCGCGACGAUCGCGUAUUUGGCAAUAUGAUCGCGACACGCCAGCCGUUUCGCACGCCGCGUCGUUUAUAGCCGAAGCGAGAUCGCUUUCGCGUCUUUCGCCGGGAAAAUGUAAGUCGGCGUAGAAAAAUACACGUCGGGAGCGCCGGACACAAUUAGGAUUAAAAACGUAAAGUAUCCGGAGUGGAAAAAGCUGCAGGCGGAUCAUCGGACAAUGCGUAUUGCUGCGGAAAGUCGAGAUAGAUGGUUAAUCACUUGGCGGCGGCGCGGCGGGUCCCGUCCGCACGGUUUUCAAAGGAACCAGCGGCUACAAAAUUAACGCGAUUAGGCCGGCGGUGGACUCGCUCGGGGAUCGUUAGUCAUUCGAGAGGGGUCACAAGUGCUCGACUCUGGUUACAAGUAAUGGAAUAACAGCGACCGAAUGUGGAUAAUCGUUCAUCAUUGUUUCUACGAAUAACCGUAAUUUUUAUUUAAAAUGAAGAAAAUACUCUAAAUUUAUUAUCAUUUAUUAGUCUCUAAAUUUAUUAUCAUCAAAUCAUAAGAGGCCAACGAUCCUUCGGCUUCUAAAUUUAAUUGACGUGCAAUGUAAAAGACUUAUUAUAGAGAGAAUGAAACGUGCACGAUAAAAAACCGAUAUAUAUCAUAUAUAUAAUUACUUUGGCUCAGAGAUAAAUAUAAAAGAUCGAGAAAAGAUUAUUGAAA